rnacentral:rRNA from 1 species
AGAGUUUGAUCCUGGCUCAGGAUGAACGCCGGCGGUGUGCCUAAUACAUGCAAGUCGUACGCACUGGCCCAACUGAUUGAUGGUGCUUGCACCUGAUUGACGAUGGAUCACCAGUGAGUGGCGGACGGGUGAGUAACACGUAGGUAACCUGCCCCGGAGCGGGGGAUAACAUUUGGAAACAGAUGCUAAUACCGCAUAACAACAAAAGCCGCAUGGUUUUUGUUUGAAAGAUGGCUUUGGCUAUCACUCUGGGAUGGACCUGCGGUGCAUUAGCUAGUUGGUAAGGUAACGGCUUACCAAGGCGAUGAUGCAUAGCCGAGUUGAGAGACUGAUCGGCCACAAUGGAACUGAGACACGGUCCAUACUCCUACGGGAGGCAGCAGUAGGGAAUCUUCCACAAUGGGCGCAAGCCUGAUGGAGCAACACCGCGUGAGUGAAGAAGGGUUUCGGCUCGUAAAGCUCUGUUGUUGGAGAAGAACGUGCGUGAGAGUAACUGUUCACGCAGUGACGGUAUCCAACCAGAAAGUCACGGCUAACUACGUGCCAGCAGCCGCGGUAAUACGUAGGUGGCAAGCGUUAUCCGGAUUUAUUGGGCGUAAAGCGAGCGCAGGCGGUUGCUUAGGUCUGAUGUGAAAGCCUUCGGCUUAACCGAAGAAGUGCAUCGGAAACCGGGCGACUUGAGUGCAGAAGAGGACAGUGGAACUCCAUGUGUAGCGGUGGAAUGCGUAGAUAUAUGGAAGAACACCAGUGGCGAAGGCGGCUGUCUGGUCUGCAACUGACGCUGAGGCUCGAAAGCAUGGGUAGCGAACAGGAUUAGAUACCCUGGUAGUCCAUGCCGUAAACGAUGAGUGCUAGGUGUUGGAGGGUUUCCGCCCUUCAGUGCCGGAGCUAACGCAUUAAGCACUCCGCCUGGGGAGUACGACCGCAAGGUUGAAACUCAAAGGAAUUGACGGGGGCCCGCACAAGCGGUGGAGCAUGUGGUUUAAUUCGAAGCUACGCGAAGAACCUUACCAGGUCUUGACAUCUUGCGCUAACCUUAGAGAUAAGGCGUUCCCUUCGGGGACGCAAUGACAGGUGGUGCAUGGUCGUCGUCAGCUCGUGUCGUGAGAUGUUGGGUUAAGUCCCGCAACGAGCGCAACCCUUGUUACUAGUUGCCAGCAUUGAGUUGGGCACUCUAGUGAGACUGCCGGUGACAAACCGGAGGAAGGUGGGGACGACGUCAGAUCAUCAUGCCCCUUAUGACCUGGGCUACACACGUGCUACAAUGGACGGUACAACGAGUCGCAAACUCGCGAGAGUAAGCUAAUCUCUUAAAGCCGUUCUCAGUUCGGACUGUAGGCUGCAACUCGCCUACACGAAGUCGGAAUCGCUAGUAAUCGCGGAUCAGCAUGCCGCGGUGAAUACGUUCCCGGGCCUUGUACACACCGCCCGUCACACCAUGGGAGUUUGUAACGCCCAAAGUCGGUGGCCUAACCUUUAUGGAGGGAGCCGCCUAAGGCGGGACAGAUGACUGGGGUGAAGUCGUAACAAGGUA